rnacentral:rRNA from 1 species
AUACGGAGGGUGCAAGCGUUGUCCGGAUUUAUUGGGUUUAAAGGGUGUGUAGGCGGUGUAUUAAGUCAGUGGUGAAAGCCUGCGGCUCAACCGUAGAACUGCCAUUGAUACUGACACACUUGAGUUUGGUUGAGGUAGGCGGAAUUUAUGGUGUAGCGGUGAAAUGCAUAGAUACCACAAAGAACACCGAUAGCGAAGGCAGCUUACUAAGCCGAAACUGACGCUGAGGCACGAGAGCGUGGGGAGCAAACAGGAUUAGAUACCCCAGUAGUCC